rnacentral:rRNA from 1 species
UGGGGAAUAUUGCACAAUGGGCGGAAGCCUGAUGCAGCGACGCCGCGUGGGGGAUGACGGCCUUCGGGUUGUAAACCUCUUUCAGCUCCGACGAAGCGAGAGUGACGGUAGGGGCAGAAGAAGCGCCGGCCAACUACGUGCCAGCAGCCGCGGUAAGACGUAGGGCGCGAGCGUUGUCCGGAUUUAUUGGGCGUAAAGAGCUCGUAGGCGGCUUGUCGCGUCGUCCGUGAAAACCCGUGGCUCAACUGCGGGCUUGCGGUCGAUACGGGCAGGCUGGAGUUCGGUAGGGGAGACUGGAAUUCCUGGUGUAGCGGUGAAAUGCGCAGAUAUCAGGAGGAACACCGGUGGCGAAGGCGGGUCUCUGGGCCGAUACUGACGCUGAGGAGCGAAAGCGUGGGGAGCGAACAGGAUUAGAUACC